GACGAACGCUGGCGGCGUGCUUAACACAUGCAAGUCGAACGAAGUGGCGCACGGGUGAGUAACGCGUAAUCAACCUGCCCUUCAGAGGGGGAUAACAGUUGGAACCGACUGCUAAUACCUCAUACUGAAGGUGGGAGUUGCGUCGGAUUAGCUCGUUGGCGGGGUAACGGCCCACCAAGGCGAUGAUCAGUAGCCGGGCUGGGAGGAUGAACGGCCACAUGGGGACUGGGACACGGCCCAGACUCCUACGGGAGGCAGCAGUGGGGAAUUUUCCGCAAUGGAGGAAAGUCUGACGGAGCAACGCCGCGUGAGGGAUGACGGCCUUCGGGUUGUAAAGCUCUGUUAAUCGGGACGCGGUACCGGAAUAGAAAGCCACGGCUAACUACGUGCCAGCAGCCGCGGUAAUUC
rnacentral:rRNA from 1 species